UGAGCUGGCCAGGCGGUCGCGUGACCCUUCGGGGUCCCGAGGAACGUCCGGGCUCCGUAGAGCAGGGUGAUGGCUAACGGCCACCCGGGGUGACCCGCGGGACAGUGCCACAGAGAGGAGACCGCCUCGCGCCUUCGGGAGCGAGGUAAGGGUGAAAGGGUGAGGUAAGAGCUCACCGCGCGACUGGUGACAGGAGCGGCAAGGUAAACCCCACCCGGAGCAAGACCAGACAGGGUGCGUUCGAGGGCUGCUCGCCCGAGCACUCGGGUAGGUUGCUUGAGCCGUGGAGCAAUCCACGGCCUAGAUGGAUGGCCGCCCCCCGGUCGCGGUGACGCGGCCGGGAGACAGAACCCGGCGUAUCGGCCAGCUCAUCCG
rnacentral:RNase_P_RNA from 3 species